GUGUGUGUGUGUGCAGAUGGUGUUCAGCACCAAGGACAGCCAUGUGAGUGUGCAGAUGGUGUUCAGCACCAAGGACAAGCAUGUGUUUGU
rnacentral:pre_miRNA from 1 species